rnacentral:rRNA from 1 species
UGGGGAAUAUUGCACAAUGGGGGAAACCCUGAUGCAGCGACGCCGCGUGAGCGAUGAAGGUUUUCGGAUCGUAAAGCUCUGUCCUAUAGGAAGAUAAUGACAGUACUAUAGGAGGAAGCCCCGGCUAACUACGUGCCAGCAGCCGCGGUAAUACGUAGGGGGCGAGCGUUGUCCGGAAUUAUUGGGCGUAAAGGGUACGUAGGCGGUUUGGAAAGUCAGAUGUUAAAGCGUGGGGCUCAACCCCAUAAAGCAUUUGAAACUAACAGACUUGAGUAGUGGAGAGGAAAGUGGAAUUCCUAGUGUAGCGGUGAAAUGCGUAGAUAUUAGGAGGAAUACCGGUGGCGAAGGCGACUUUCUGGACACAAACUGACGCUGAGGUACGAAAGCGUGGGGAGCAAACAGG